AUGCUUACUACUGCUUUUAAGUAUCAGACUAUUGCAAAUGCUUGGCUUGCACUAAACGAUGAUCGUCUAAUACCAGAUUAUGGGAAUAGAACUGGGAAUAAAAGGCGUUUCAUAAUUGGGUCAAUAAGUGGUUGUUCAAGCAAGAAGCUGUAUCCUUUUGGGACUUCCACUUUGCUAGAUGCUUGGCCUGCACUAAAUGAUGAUCGUCGAAUACCAGUUAUUAGAUGUGCUUCAUUAAGCAAAAGCCGAACAUCAUCAAAGGUAAUGAAUAUGCCAAAGGGCUAUCUUGCCGUGAAAAAUAUCAUUUUAUCUCGUGCUUCUUCCAAUUCUAUAUACAAUACAAAUUCAUCCCCAUCUUGA